rnacentral:tRNA from 1 species
GCGGCAGUAGCUCAACUGGUAGAGCACCUCGUUGCCGACGAGGAGGAGCGGGUUCGAGUCCCGCCUGCCGCUCCA